UGCAUCAUCGUUACAACAUAGUUUUUCUAACCAUCCCCAAUUUAGAAAUGUCACUGCACUGGAUGGGUAUUCUUAUAAUAAUAUGAUUGUGCAAGUUAACAAACAAAGACCUAUCUUUUUAGCUGAUCAAUGCCUACAUGAAAUGUUUGGAGAGAAAGCAUAAUACAUCCUCAGCAGAGAAAGUGCUGUGUAUCGACUCGUUUGGCAUGUCUGCUGUGUGGCCAAAACAAAUUCCACGCUUCAAGUGGGAUCCAACAGACUAAAGCACUCUGUAUGGCAUUGUUAAUGACAACCAUCACUGGUUUGUCAUUAUUAUAUUUCCAAAACAGAGAAAAUCUCUUCUUCUGGACUCACUUGGGGAAAGUAGUCAGAAGUUGAAGAGAUGUCAAGAAAUAUC